GCUCUCGCCACUCUCUCCCUUCGCUUCUUUCGCUCGUCUUUCUUCUUCAGCUCUUCUUCAACGACGCACUCCUUCUUCGCCAUUGAAGGUCCAGAUCUUCUUCGCCAUUGAAGCAAUUGAAGUGAAAACGCCUCUCAAAGCCUCUCUCUUGAUCCUCUGCGUAUUCCAGAAGCUUCUGCCCCGUUGAUCGGCGCCGGAAUCUGUCGCUCACCUUGCCACAUCCAGUGCUCUUCGGAUCAUGAUGUUCUUGCGCGCUUGAGCUUCGAAUCCGUGUGCUCCAUCAAUGGACUCAAGUUUAUUGACUGACAAAUCCAUGUGCCAAAUCCAGCUCAAUGACCUACUCUUUUUCUCUGCUCAACGUCUCCUUCAGUUUUGCCUUUUCCAGGUGAAAGCACGCCUCGUGACCGAGAAUUUCUUAUGUUGUCUUUAAGCAGUGUGUUCUCCAGUCUUUCCGCUGAUUUGGUGUGGCUGUGAUUGCUGAUUGAUGCCUCUGGCUUAUCGCUUUCUGGGUGUUGAGAAGCAAUUGAAUGGUUGAUGUCGAUCAAUGGGAGAGUUUCAAUUUCACUGCUUGUUUUCUUGUGGGGUUCUUAGAAAGAGAAAUCUUAGACGAGACCCACGUUUUCUGGGCGUCCCAAAUCCCAGAAUUCGGCCUUGAUUUCGUGAAUGAAAAGGGUUUAAAAUU